GAAAUCAGAUUCCCUUUAUAAUGUCCUAGUCACAAUUAUUUAUAUGCUGAAUGGAGCCAGAAGUGCCAUGUUCCAUGGUGAAUCUGUGAUCUGAUUUUCAAUGCUGCCAUCUCCAGUGAAGGGGAAACAGCUUCCACACAGAGGGGAGAAAUCUGAAAUUCAUCUGUGUUUCACAUACACUGAAAUCUGCUGUGGUUAAGGACAGGUUAUGGAUUCUAUUGAAGAAAAAAUCAUCUUUUAUUUCAAUAGUUUUCUGGUGUUGCCUUUCACUGAAUUAAAGAACAGUUCUAUAGGUGACUGUGGCGAGGGUAUGGGACUGCAAACUGUAACAGCAGGCUGAGCUUAAAGAAAACCAGAUUCUAUUCUUUGCCACGUGUGCAUACAAAAACCUUGGUAUGUGCCUUUAAACCAGAAAUAGGGUGGUGUUCUUUCCAUAGUUUUCCCCUGUUAUGCCUGCAUGGUUCGCAUGAGUGUUGCUGGGAAAAAGCUACCAUAACUGGUUGGGGUUUGGCUGGCGGAUACCUUUAACAUAGAAAGAGCUCUGCUGUAGGUUCAGUGGUGUGUCCAGUGAAGCCCUUGAAUCCUCUGCCCAUUUUAGCGACAAUGUUCAUUAAGUAAAAAUAACCUUUCUGCUGAGCCCAGUCUCACAACAGAGGGAGAGAGGAGAUCCCACUGUUGAUGUUGUAAUAGCACCUCGGUGCUCUCUGCCUUUCUUUGCUAAACAAGCUGAUUUGCUGCAGUAGCUGAAAUUAAGAAGCCCACUGGAAAACCUGAGUGAAGCAUAGUCAGGGCAUGUAAGCGGGGUUAUAUUCAGAGCACAGGGGACAGCUGGUGUGAGCACCCCUGCACUGUGAAGGUGCUGUUUCGGAUAGGUGUAUCUUUCCAGCCCUUUCCUCACCUCCUUCUCCUUCUCGUUCAGUUUCUCUGUCCCUGGGAGACCCGUGAGGUUCAGCGGUGGAGCGCUCCGUCUGCCUGCGGAGGCAACGUGGAAACCAGAAAAGUGGGAAUAAUUAGUUGGAAGAAAAGCACCCUGAUUGGGCUUUUCUUCAGCAAUACAUUGAGAGCAAGACUGAGUUUACCCAGGGAAAAAGGCAGUAAUCUGAGAUCUUCAUAGGAGUCUCGAAAGUCAAACACAGAAAUCAGAGACCAUUCCUCUCCACACACCACGUGAGGAGGCAUGCUCCUGCGUGCAGGCACCAUGGAAGCUCUACAGCCCCUCCACGCACAUGGCAGCUGCUUCAACCCCAGAUACACAUCCCUGCUUGGACCCUCAGGGAAUCGAGAGCAACUUCCAGGCUGAUUUUCACCCCAUGCCCGUAAGUGACACCGCACAACAUCUUCGGGCACAAGCUCCCCUCUGUGAACUGCCAUCCCCUUUAGCCCUGUUUACAAUGCUGC